AGUGAACGCUGGCGGUAGGCCUAACACAUGCAAGUCGAACGGCAGCACAGUAAGAGCUUGCUCUUACGGGUGGCGAGUGGCGGACGGGUGAGGAAUACAUCGGAAUCUACUUUUUCGUGGGGGAUAACGUAGGGAAACUUACGCUAAUACCGCAUACGACCUACGGGUGAAAGCAGGGGAUCUUCGGACCUUGCGCGAUUGAAUGAGCCGAUGUCGGAUUAGCUAGUUGGCGGGGUAAAGGCCCACCAAGGCGACGAUCCGUAGCUGGUCUGAGAGGAUGAUCAGCCACACUGGAACUGAGACACGGUCCAGACUCCUACGGGAGGCAGCAGUGGGGAAUAUUGGACAAUGGGCGCAAGCCUGAUCCAGCCAUACCGCGUGGGUGAGGAGGCCUUCGGGUUGUAAAGCCCUUUUGUUGGGAAAGAAAAGCAGCAGGUUAAUACCCCGCUGUUCUGACGGUACCCAAAGAAUAAGCACCGGCUAACUUCGUG
rnacentral:rRNA from 1 species